rnacentral:lncRNA from 1 species
CAUUUUAUAGGAUUUGGGAAAGUAAUGGAAAAUUACAGUCAAAAGGGGUUGUUCUCUGGUGGGCAGGGGCAGGGGGUCACAAGGUGCUCAGUGGGGGAGCUUCUGAGCCAGGAGAGGGAAAUUCACAGGGUUAAUCACUCAGUUAAGGUGGGGCAGGAACAAAUCACAAUGGUGGAAUGUCAUCAGUUAAGGCGGAGCAGGGCCUUUUCACUUCUUUUGUGAUUCUUCAGUUACUUCAGGGCAUCUGGGCAUAUACGUGCAAGUCACAG